AUCUCUUAAAGGUAAAAAUGGAGGAGAAAGCUCUGAUGGCGGAGCCAAUUCUGGAUCCAAGAUGGAAGAUUGAAGAAAUUCAGAGGCUACGGUUUGAGAGAGGGAAGAAUUAGGGUUAAAGAAGAGGAUAGGUUAAGAAAUGAGGGGGAGAGAAGGAGGUUUUGAGGAGUUUUGAAGGGUCGGAGAGCUAGCUUCAUGCUUCGGGAAGGGAAAAAAAGACAGAGAAUUGGAUUUUUUUUCUUCAUAG
rnacentral:lncRNA from 1 species